AUUGAACGCUGGCGGCAGGCCUAACACAUGCAAGUCGAGCGGUAGAGAGAAGCUUGCUUCUCUUGAGAGCGGCGGACGGGUGAGUAAUGCCUAGGAAUCUGCCUAGUGGUGGGGGAUAACGUUCGGAAACGGACGCUAAUACCGCAUACGUCCUACGGGAGAAAGCGGGGGAUCUUCGGACCUCGCGCCAUUAGAUGAGCCUAGGUCGGAUUAGCUAGUUGGUGAGGUAAUGGCUCACCAAGGCGACGAUCCGUAACUGGUCUGAGAGGAUGAUCAGUCACACUGGAACUGAGACACGGUCCAGACUCCUACGGGAGGCAGCAGUGGGGAAUAUUGGACAAUGGGCGAAAGCCUGAUCCAGCCAUGCCGCGUGUGUGAAGAAGGUCUUCGGAUUGUAAAGCACUUUAAGUUGGAGGAAGGGCAGUAACCUAANACGUUAUGUUUUGACGGUUACCGACAGAAUUAAGCACCGGCUAACUUCGUGCCAGCAGCCGACGG
rnacentral:rRNA from 1 species